rnacentral:rRNA from 1 species
CACGUAGGGCGCAAGCGUUGUCCGGAAUUAUUGGGCGUAAAGAGCUCGUAGGCGGCUUGUCACGUCGGGUGUGAAAGCCCGGGGCUUAACCCCGGGUCUGCAUUCGAUACGGGCAGGCUAGAGUGUGGUAGGGGAGGAUCGGAAUUCCUGGUGUAGCGGUGAAAUGCGCAGAUAUCAGGAGGAACACCGGUGGCGAAGGCGGAUCUCUGGGCCAUUACUGACGCUGAGGAGCGAAAGCGUGGGGAGCGAACAGG